AGCAGCCCCCAGAUCGAGUGGUGUUCAGGUGUUCAGACCAGUUGUCUCCCUCAACCCCGCAACCCUGCUGCCUGGCACACGGAUGGGAGCAGCUUCCUCCAAGAAGGAGAACGGAGGGCCGGAGCAGCCGUCACCACCGAAUCGGAGAUAGUUUGGACCUCACCACUGCCACCUGGAACAUCGGCCCAAAAGGCAGAGCUGAUCGCGCUGACCCAGGCCCUCCGGAUGGCGGAAGCCCGGAGGACCAGAAACGAACAAAGAAAAUGGGGGCGGAAUGGAGCCCCGAGCGACAAGCUUACAUCAUAGAUGGACAGAGGCCUUGCCUACCAAAAAAAAAAAGACCGCUAACAUGGUAACCAAGAAACUCCUGGAUGACAUCUUUCCCAGGUAUGAAAUACCCCAGAUAUUGGGGUCAGACAAUGGGCCUGCCUUCGUCUCCCAGCCCUCCAAUUGAUACAAAAGACGAUAUAAAAACCCCUGCCUGCCGGGAGCAACUGAACCGCCCGGUGGUGCCUCACCCAUUCAAGAUUGGAGACUCUGUCUGGGUCCGACGCCAUCAAUCUAGAAACCUAGAGCCGAGGUUGACGGGACAGCGGCUUGGGUCCACGCGUCACAUGUGAAGGCUGCCAAGGAACCUGACGAAGCUGAGGGCACCGAGACAUCUAGUUCAACGCUCUCCAAACCCACUAAAGAUAAGACUCACCCGGGGGUCCCCUUGAUCCCCCUAAUAGUCCUCCUGACAUUAGGAGAAACAUCACCAGAGAGCCUGUUUCCCUGACGCUGGCCCUGUUACUGGGAGAAAUUACCAU